rnacentral:rRNA from 1 species
UACGGGGGGGGCAAGCGUUGUUCGGAAUUACUGGGCGUAAAGGGCUCGUAGGUGGCCAACUAAGUCAGACGUGAAAUCCCUCAGCUUAACUGGGGAACUGCGUCUGAUACUGGAUGGCUUGAGUUUGGGAGAGGGACGCGGAAUUCCAGGUGUAGCGGUGAAAUGCGUAGAUAUCUGGAGGAACACCGGUGGCGAAGGCGGCAUUCUGGACCGAUAUUGACGCUGAGGAGCGAAAGCCAGGGGAGCAAACGGG